rnacentral:rRNA from 1 species
AGACAGCAGCAGCCACGGUAAUACGGAGGGUGCAAGCGUUAAUCGGAAUUACUGGGCGUAAAGCGCACGCAGGCGGUUUGUUAAGUCAGAUGUGAAAUCCCCGAGCUUAACUUGGGAACUGCAUUUGAAACUGGCAAGCUAGAGUCUUGUAGAGGGGGGUAGAAUUCCAGGUGUAGUGGUGAAAUGCGUAGAGAUCUGGAGGAAUACCGGUGGCGAAGGCGGCUUACUGGCUCAUUCUAGACGCUGAGGUGCGAAAGCGUGGGGAGCAAACAGGAUUAGAUACCCCAGUAGUCCCUGUCUCUUAUAC